rnacentral:lncRNA from 1 species
CCCAAUUUGGAAGGAGGACCUGACCCCCUGGUCGCAGAAGUCUGGAUUCUAUAGAUAAAAAGCUUUUUUCUAUCCUAGACCUAAUCCAAGAAUAAAAAGUCCCCAUCGUUGCCUUUAUACUGACCGGUGAAGUCGAGCACAUGUGGCAACUGAAGAAAGAUAUCCUACCCUCCCCUACCACAUGGAAAUAUUUCAUUGACACCUUCUUUGAAAACUUCUUCCCUAUAUACAUUCGAGAGAAA